rnacentral:tRNA from 1 species
GGAGGGUUGGCCGAGUGGUAAGGCAGCGGUCCGCUAAGCCGUGGUCGAGGGUUUCCUCGCGUGAGUUCGAUCCUCACACUCUCCG